rnacentral:rRNA from 1 species
GUGGGGAAUCUUGCGCAAUGGGCGAAAGCCUGACGCAGCCAUGCCGCGUGAAUGAUGAAGGUCUUAGGAUUGUAAAAUUCUUUCACCGGGGACGAUAAUGACGGUACCCGGAGAAGAAGCCCCGGCUAACUUCGUGCCAGCAGCCGCGGUAAUACGAAGGGGGCUAGCGUUGCUCGGAAUUACUGGGCGUAAAGGGCGCGUAGGCGGACAGUUUAGUCAGUGGUGAAAGCCCAGGGCUCAACCUUAGAAUUGCCUUUGAUACUGGCUGUCUUGAGUACGGGAGAGGUGAGUGGAACUCCGAGUGUAGAGGUGAAAUUCGUAGAUAUUCGGAAGAACACCAGUGGCGAAGGCGACUCACUGGCCCAAUACUGACGCUGAGGCGCGAAAGCGUGGGGAGCAAACAGGAUUAGAUACCCGUGUAGUCC